rnacentral:tRNA from 1 species
GAAAAAGUACGCAAGAACUGCUAAUUCAUGCCCCCAUGCUUAAAAGCAUGGCUUUUUCA